rnacentral:tRNA from 2 species
GCCUCGAUAGCUCAGUUGGUAGAGCAGCUGACUCUUAAUCAGCGGGUCGUAGGUUCGAAUCCUACUCGAGGUACCA